GAGACAUCUGAAGGAGAUUAAAGAUUUAUCGGUGAUGGAUGGGGAUGCGUCUGAUUAGCUUGUUGGCGGGGUAACGCCCCACCAAGGCGACGAUCAGUAGGGGUUCUGAGAGGAAGGUCCCCCACAUUGGAACUGAGACACGGUCCAAACUCCUACGGGAGGCAGCAGUGAGGAAUAUUGGUCAAUGGGCGAGAGCCUGAACCAGCCAAGUAGCGUGCAGGAUGACGGCCCUAUGGGUUGUAAACUGCUUUUAUAAGGGAAUAAAGUGAGUCUCGUGAGACUUUUUGCAUGUACCUUAUGAAUAAGGACCGGCUAAUUCCGUGCCAGCAGCCGCGGUAAUACGGAAGGUCCGGGCGUUAUCCGGAUUUAUUGGGUUUAAAGGGAGCGUAGGCCGGAGAUUAAGCGUGUUGUGAAAUGUAGACGCUCAACGUCUGCACUGCAGCGCGAACUGGUUUCCUUGAGUACGCACAAAGUGGGCGGAAUUCGUGGUGUAGCGGUGAAAUGCUUAGAUAUCACGAAGAACUCCGAUUGCGAAGGCAGCUCACUGGAGCGCAACUGACGCUGAAGCUCGAAAGUGCGGGUAUCGAACAGGAUUAGAUACCCUGGUAGUCCGCACGGUAAACGAUGGAUGCCCGCUGUUGGUCUGAAUAGGUCAGCGGCCAAGCGAAAGCAUUAAGCAUCCCACCUGGGGAGUAC
rnacentral:rRNA from 1 species